rnacentral:siRNA from 1 species
ACCAUGGUUACAUCAAGUGCUUCU